rnacentral:rRNA from 1 species
ACGGAAGGCAGCAGUGGGGAAUAUUGCACAAUGGGGGAAACCCUGAUGCAGCGACGCCGCGUGAGUGAAGAAGUAUUUCGGUAUGUAAAGCUCUAUCAGCAGGGAAGAAAAUGACGGUACCUGACUAAGAAGCCCCGGCUAACUACGUGCCAGCAGCCGCGGUAAUACGUAGGGGGCAAGCGUUAUCCGGAUUUACUGGGUGUAAAGGGAGCGUAGACGGUAUUGCAAGUCUGAAGUGAAAUCUGGGGGCUCAACCCCCAAACUGCUUUGGAAACUGUAGUACUGGAGUGCAGGAGAGGUAAGCGGAAUUCCUAGUGUAGCGGUGAAAUGCGUAGAUAUUAGGAGGAACACCAGUGGCGAAGGCGGCUUACUGGACUGUAACUGACGUUGAGGCUCGAAAGCGUGGGGAGCAAACAGGAUUAGAUACCCUGGUA